UAGCUCAGACGGUAAAGCAUCUGCCUGCAAUGUGGGAGACCUGGGUUCAAUCCCCAG
rnacentral:tRNA from 1 species